rnacentral:rRNA from 1 species
UUGGCCCUACGGGACGCAGCAGUGGGGAAUAUUGGGCAAUGGGCGCAAGCCUGACCCAGCAACGCCGCGUGAAGGAAGAAGGCUUUCGGGUUGUAAACUUCUUUUCUUGGGGACGAAGAAAGUGACGGUACCCAAGGAAUAAGCCACGGCUAACUACGUGCCAGCAGCCGCGGUAAUACGUAGGUGGCAAGCGUUAUCCGGAUUUAUUGGGUGUAAAGGGCGUGUAGGCGGGAAUGCAAGUCAGAUGUUAAAACUAU